AGGUGCCAGAGUCAGCACAGGCGCACUCCAUGAUCUGACAGAACUUCUUCCGGCCCAUGGAGUAGAUCCGACAGUUUUUCCCUGGCUUCAGCUCCUUCCCGUUCUGACUCACAGAAGCAAAGGGACAGAGGAAUUCAUUUCUCAUCGUCUUACCACACGACUUCGGCAUCAUCUGCGGAGACAUGGCAGAGCAGCACCACGGGGUCCAGCUCCAUGCUGCUCUUAUGGAGCUCCUCCUCUGGGACCGGCUUGAACUCCACAGAAGGACCUGAAACAACAGGAGGAGGGAAGAGUGGAUGUCAGCAGCUGGAACACAAGAUGGACUGCUUUGGGAAACUCCAUAUGGCCACUUCGCCCAUACUUGUUGACGCAGCAGACACGGAACCGGUAGUUGCCCUCGCACGGCACGCUGUCGCCGCCAACCUCAGCUGACGU